GACGAACGCUGGCGGCGUGCUUAACACAUGCAAGUCGAACGAUGAAGCCGGAGCUUGCUCUGGUGAAUUAGUGGCGAACGGGUGAGUAACACGUGAGUAACCUGCCCUUGACUCUGGGAUAACUGCGGGAAACUGUAGCUAAUACCGGAUACGACCCUCGGAGGCAUCUCCUGGGGGUGGAAAGAAUUUCGGUCAAGGAUGGACUCGCGGCCUAUCAGCUAGUUGGUGAGGUAAAGGCUCACCACGGCGACGACGGGUAGCCGGCCUGAGAGGGUGACCGGCACCACUGGGACUGAGACACGGACCGGACUCCUACGGGAGGCAGCAGUGGGGAAUAUUGCACAAUGGGCGCAAGCCUGAUGCAGCAACGCCGCGUGAGGGAUGACGGCCUUCGGGUUGUAAACCUCUUUUAGCAGGGAAGAAGCGAAAGUGACGGUACCUGCAGAAAAAGCACCGGCUAACUACGUGCCAGCCGCCGCCGUAA
rnacentral:rRNA from 1 species